GGCACCUUGACAGAGUGGUUAUUGUGUCAGCCUGCUAAGCUGAUCCCUUCGGGGGCGUGCGUUCGAAUCGCACAGGUGUCG